CAAUAGCGUAUAUUAAAGUUGUUGCAGUUAAAAAGCUCGUAGUUGGAUCUCAGGUCCCGGCUCGCGGUUCACCUCGCGGUGCUUACUGCCCGUCCGGACCUACCCGCCGGUUGUCCCUUGGUGCUCUUCACUGAGCGUCUCGGGUGGCCGGAACGUUUACUUUGAAAAAAUUAGAGUGUUCAAAGCAGGCGGCUCGCCUGGAUAAUGGUGCAUGGAAUAAUGGAAUAGGACCUCGGUUCUAUUUUGUUGGUUUUCGGAGCUCGAGGUAAUGAUUAAGAGGGACAGACGGGGGCAUUCGUAUUACGGUGUUAGAGGUGAAAUUCUUGGAUCGCCGUAAGACGAACUACUGCGAAAGCAUUUGCCAAGAAUGUUUUCAUUAGUCAAGAACGAAAGUCAGAGGUUCGAAGACGAUCAGAUACCGUCCUAGUUCUGACCAUAAACGAUGCCGACUGGAGAUCCGCCAGAGUUGUUUCACUGACCUGGCGGGCAUCCUCUGGGAAACCAUUAAGUCUAUGGGUUCCGGGGGAAGUAUGGUUGCAAAGCUGAAACUUAAAGGAAUUGACGGAAGG
rnacentral:rRNA from 1 species